UACGGAGGGGGCAAGCGUUGUUCGGAAUUACUGGGCGUAAAGGGCGCGCAGGCGGCUGCUCAAGUCAGGCGUGAAAGCCUCCGGCUCAACCGGAGGAGGCCACUGGAGACUGGCGUGCUCGAGGUGGGUAGGGGUCGGUGGAAUUCCCGGUGUAGUGGUGAAAUGCGUAGAUAUCGGGAGGAAUACCAGCGGCGAAGGCGGCCUUCUGGACGGUGACUGACGCUGAGACGCGAAAGCGUGGGGAGCAAACAGG
rnacentral:rRNA from 1 species